ACACAAAACAAACACAAAAUAUGUCUUUGUUUUGGAACACUUAUGUUGACAUGAAUGGAGAAGGAUUGAUGACGGAGAAAGAAAGUUUCCUGAACACUUCAGUAACACAGUUAAAUAAUAGCUACUGUUACCUCCUUCCAGUGUUGUGAUUAGUACUCCUAUUUGUUAGAUCGCAUUUUAAUAGUACUGGCUAAAGCAGAAACAGGAAAACAAGCUACAUUUUAAUGGUACUGGCUGAGAUAGAAACAGGAAAACAAGCUACAUUUUAAUGGUACUGGCUAAGGCAGAAACAGGAAAACAAGCUACAUUAUAAUGGUACUGGCUGAGGUAGAAACAGGAAAACAAGCUACAUUUUAAUGGUACUGGCUGAGGUAGAAACAGGAAAACAAGCUACAUUUUAAUGGUACUGGCUGAGGUAGAAACAGGAAAACAAGCUACAUUUUAAUGGUACUGGCUGAGGUAGAAACAGGAAAACAAGCUACAUUUUAAUGGUACUGGCUGAGGUAGAAACAGGAAAACAAGCUACAUUUUAAUGGUACUGGCUGAGGUAGAAACAGAAAAACAGGCUACAUUUUAACGAUACUUGCUAAGGUAGAAACAGGAUAUCAGGUUACAUUUUAAACUCAGCGAUCUAAAUGAUAGUAAAUAUAAAUAUCUUCAUAUUUCAAGUCACUUGGUCAGCACAACUUAGUUAUUUUCAAUAUAAAUAUCUUCAUAUUUCAAGUCACUUGAUCAGCACAACUUAGUUAUUUUCAAUAUAAAUAUCUUCAUAUUUCAAGUCACUUGAUCAGCACAACUUAGUUAUUUUCAGAAUAAAUUCCCGCACAAAUCACCGCUAGUCAUGAUGGCUCUGAUUACUAGAUUGAUUUUGUGUGUGUGUUAUUUGAAUCAACAUCUAAAUUAACUAUUAUUAACCCUAAUAUUACUGUCUGAAAGUCCUAAUACCGCAAUUAAUAUAUUUUAAAACAAUAAUGCUCUCCUAAACAAUGUGCGCAGAAAUUUUAAACAAUGUUAACAUUUUAUAUUGUCUUCUUAAAGAAUAUGGAAUUUUUAUCUGAAUUUCUCAUUUUCUCAAGUCUUUAACGAUUCUAUUAUUCUCUAUUUUUAAACGAACUGGCAGGUUUACAUCAGAUGUUUCAAGAUAUGUUUUAAGAAUACAAAAAUGAAGAACUAUAUAUUAAAGUUUAAACCAUAUUGCACUGGGGACUCUAUAUAUAUAUUGUAUGACCCAGUGUCGUUUGUACACGUUCAUAUUUUUCUGACCGUGAAAUUUCCAAAAUAAAAACAAAACAAACAACAACAACAGUACCAAGCGCCGACAUUACAUAAAAUAUAGGCUCUAAACAAGCCGAUUUUAGAACACAAAGUGACGAGUGACAUGAACGGAUCUAGAAUCUUAAGUUUUUGGUCAUGGCGGUCUUGUUACAACACCUCUCUCCCUACCCAUCACAAAUCCGACGAUAUGACGAAACUCAGUGACAUAAGAAAUAUUGUUGAUAUGGCUGUGGUAAAAACACACCCGUUGUUAACAAUAUAAUUAUAUGUUCUGGAAACUGUCAUAUUUACAUAUUCAUCUCUUGAGAUAUCAGAGCAAUAAAAUCGUUUUGUUUUCUACCCUACAUUUGUUUUGUUGUUAAUUAAAAAUAUCUAUAUCGAACACUAUAAGCAAUUACGAGCAAAAUAUGAACACGCCAUCCAUGCGAUUAUAGAUAAAGCUACAGACAUACAAAGAACAAUAAAUUUUUGUCCCAACCACGCUUUUCGCUCCCUCUAGCUGCGUGAGUUGUAACCUUGAAUAAUAUAAUAUAAUGCCAAUGGCGCGCGCUCCCUUAUCCGGCCCCGCACUGGUAUGCAAAUUAUUGUUUUCAUCUUUCUGUCUUACUUGCUUUCGCUCAUGACUUUUUUAUUCGACAUAUUACAAAUAGUUCUAAACGUCCUACAACAGACAGUUGAUAUAUGCAACUGGGAAACACGUGAGUAAACUCACAACGACUACUAUCGCAUCAUAAAAUAAAGAAAA